CACCGAUUCACGACUCACUGCUUUUGGCGAGGCGGCGUCAGAUGACUGACUCUCCGGCUUUGUGCACAGUGGAAGGGAAGCUCUCUCUCAGGAGGAACAGGAAUUUACGGGGCUCUCAUUUUGCUUGGAUUUGCGUCAGUAAAAGCUGAUUGCCCAGUACCACAGAGGAGUGCAAUCGAAUGAAGGGAAUUCCGAGGAGAAGAAAGGUCUGAUUGGUGCCUGCAGAACACAUCUGACACGGAGGGCCCCACCUGCCCCAUCCUCGGGCAGCAGGCCAUCUUCAAUCAAUCACUCAACUCAUAGAGAACAUGACAUCACUCAGGCUCACACUACCAUUGAGGACCUCUUGAGUUCCCCUGCUGCUGUCCCCAAUGCCCUCUCUUCUCUUCCUCCCCCUCCUUCUCUGUGACUCUCUUCGGUGACGGGUAUUCUUGGGUGGAUAAUACGGAUCACGUUGUUAUUGCUUAAGAAUACGCGUAGUUGAGGAGAGUCCUCUCGACACUGACUUGGAGGAGCUAAAGGAGCUAACGUCCUGCUGCAUGAGCCAAAGUAGAGCCAGGAUGACUGCCUGGUUUCCAUAUCCAGGACCAUUUAUCAAGCAACUAGACAGAUUAACAAAGCCUAAUUACUUUACUGGGCUUUCAGCUAUGCUUUCCAGCCCCUAUAGACACUAGCAGCAAAGAGAGAAAGUGAGAGAGAGAGAGAGAGAGAGAGAGAGAGAUAUUAAACUCUUACAGUUACCUCUCCCAGGAUGUUUUUUCGCAGUAGGCUAUAUCGUAUUAUUGUGUACUGUAAUAUGAUUUGAUUAACCAUUCUGACGAAUGUUGUGUCUUCUGUGUAUCGACUCCACCAGUGUUUAUUUAUUAUUUAGCAUUUUGUACAAUUUGUUCAUUUUGGCUUCCGGAUGAAACAGGCUAUUAUGUUCGUUUUCACUUCAGGGAGUUGUGUCUUGUACUACAGGCUUGCUUGGUGCAGUAAUGGACAUUUGUAUUGGUCUUAAAAAUACAAAAGGCCUCCUACGCAACAUUUAGCUUGCAUACAAAUAGAUUUUGUGGUAACACGCUUUCUGGCCUCAGGACUACUGCCCAGAGAUGGCCAUAUUGCCUGCGGAUACCUCAUUGAGAGUGAAAGAGUAGACUGGGAGAAUAUGUUAGGAGAAUGAAAAACUAUGAAGGAGUAACUGAAUUUGAACCCAAAAUAUGUAUAUUAUACCUCAGUCCUGUGUAUCAAUACUAAAGGGAAUUCCGUGACAGAGAGCUGGUUGUUAGUGAUCACAGAGGAAAUAUCAAUACUCAGAGAAACUGCACUGGCGCAUUUCAUUUAUUCCACAAUCUUGCGCCAUACAGGCCGUCCCUCUGAAGAUAAAUUCUGCAAGCCCAGUAACAUCAUUCCCUGACUUAAUGUGUUUGCGACAAAGGGACAUUCUCAUCCAAAAUGAUUUGCACAUCAAGAAGAGUCAUUACGUUUUAAUGGUGUCGGGAAAUGACCCUCUCUUAGCUUACGCUGGUGGAAAUCAAUGAGGCCUGCAUUACAGUGUUAUUGUGACGGUCAUUUUCUGCUGAAUCAUGCUGUUUAAUUUCUUGCCCUUCGACAAAUCAUCCGCCGACUCUUAUCAAUUUGGCCAGAGAGCUUACGUUUGAUUGCAUUAGAUGAGAUCAAAUAAAAUAAAUAAAAUAAUUGAAGGUCCUCUAAAAAUGCUACCAUGACAUCUCUUGAUGUCUAAUGUUCCUAUCAAUCUCAAGCUUAUCUAAGACUGAAAGGAGAAGGCAAAUGUCUGCUCUAGCCUCUACUGAAUCUAUUUGUACUGUCAUAAUUGGAUCCUACCAGUAGGGGAGCCCUGUAGCUCACAGUCAGACAAUGAACUCAAUGAACUGUUUUAAAAGGAGAAUGACUUUAUCAGCGCUACCUAUGAUUUUACACUGUUAACAAAGCUGUGUGUUUGGCAUUACAAAUGGGCAUGCUUUUGACAAUCUGUUAAUUCAGUUUAUGACAUUUUGAACAUCAUUUUCUCAUCAGACAUUUUUGUUAAUUGACUGUAUCUAUUUUUAUGGCAUGUUGAAAACCCAGACAAUCUGUAAAAUCGUGUGGUCCGAAAACAAUAUGACAAACAAUAAACAAACAAUUUGAAAUAUGUGACAGCUUAUGUGAUUUUAUCAUGUCAAUCAUGUCCAUCAUUUUUUUUAAAUCUCUGU
rnacentral:lncRNA from 1 species